AGAACGAACGCUGGCGGCAUGCCUAAUACAUGCAAGUCGAACGAGAUCUUCGGGUCUAGUGGCGCACGGGUGCGUAACGCGUGGGAAUCUACCCUUGGGUUCGGAAUAACAGUUGGAAACGACUGCUAAUACCGGAUGAUGACGAAAGUCCAAAGAUUUAUCGCCCAAGGAUGAGCCCGCGUAGGAUUAGCUAGUUGGUGAGGUAAAGGCUCACCAAGGCUACGAUCCUUAGCUGGUCUGAGAGGAUGAUCAGCCACACUGGGACUGAGACACGGCCCAGACUCCGUACGGAGGCAGCAGGU
rnacentral:rRNA from 1 species